rnacentral:lncRNA from 1 species
AGAGCAUGCAAGAAAACUGGUACAAUUAUUUUCAUUUUGUCAAGUUACAGUUUUUUCAACGUUAUUCCUCUAGCAAUAACUUUGAUGGAUGUGAUUUCAAUUUUAGGCAACUGUUCUAGGACGGCCACCUCAUCCACACGAACUUUUAAAGAAGACACAUACCAAAAGAAACGAUGAGUUUGUGGAUCUGAAGUCUAAGAGCACAUAUGUAAGUAACACCAAACAUUGCUGAUUAUCUUUCUUAAUUUUUGUUGAGAAUUUACUUAGUCGUCAUUCAUCAUGUUUAUCCCAAAUAUUAAACACAUGGUUAUAAUAUUUGAAGAUUAUAAUGAGGGAG